rnacentral:snRNA from 1 species
CCUUACAGAGAAGAUUAGCAUGUCUCCUGCGCAAGGAUGACACGCAAAUUUGUGAAGUGUUCCAUAUUUUU